AGUGAACGCUGGCGGUAGGCCUAACACAUGCAAGUCGAACGGCAGCACAGUAAGAGCUUGCUCUUACGGGUGGCGAGUGGCGGACGGGUGAGGCAUACAUCGGAAUCUACUUUUUCGUGGGGGAUAACGUAGGGAAACUUACGCUAAUACCGCAUACGACCUACGGGUGAAAGCAGGGGAUCUUCGGACCUUGCGCGAUUGAAUGAGCCGAUGUCGGAUUAGCUAGUUGGCGGGGUAAAGGCCCCCCAGGGCGACGAUCCGUAGCGAGUCUGAGAGGAUGAUCGCCCACACGGAAACGGAGAAACGUUCCAGACUCCAAGGGGAGCAAGCAGUGGGGAAUUUUGGACAAGGGGCGCAAGCCUGAGCCAGCCAGACCGCGUGGGUGAAGAAGGCCUUCGAGUUGUAAAGCCCUUUUGUUGGGAAAGAAAAGCGGGAGGUUAAUACCCCGCUGUUCGGACGGUACCCAUAGGAUAAGCACCGCCUAACUUCGU
rnacentral:rRNA from 1 species